rnacentral:rRNA from 1 species
UACAGAGACUGCAAGCGUUAUUCGGAUUCACUGGGCGUAAAGGGUGCGCAGGCGGCCGUGUGUGUAAGGUGUGAAAUCCCGGGGCUUAACCCCGGAACUGCGCCUUAAACUACAUGGCUAGAGUACUGGAGAGGGUAGCGGAAUUCACGGUGUAGCAGUGAAAUGCGUAGAUAUCGUGAGGAACACCAGAGGCGAAGGCGGCUACCUGGACAGUUACUGACGCUCAGGCACGAAAGCGUGGGGAGCAAAAGGG